UUCGCAAUGCCCGAAAGGGAGACGAAGCGACGCCGCGUGUGGGAAGAAGGCCUUCGGGUUGUAAACCACUGUCGGGAGUUAAGAAAUGCAAGGAUAUUAAUAGUGUCUUUGUUUGACUAAGGCUCCGGAGGAAGCCACGGCUAACUCUGUGCCAGCAGCCGCGGUAAUACAGAGGCGGCAAGCGUUGUUCGGAAUUAUUGGGCGUAAAGAGCACGUAGGCGGCUAUGUAAGUCGGUUGUGAAAGCCUUCCGCUCAACGGAAGAACAGCAUCCGAUACUACAUGGCUUGAGUGCGGGAGGGGAGAGUGGAACUUCUGGUGGAGCGGUGAAAUGCGUAGAUAUCAGAAGGAACGCCGGCGGCGAAAGCGGCUCUCUGGCCCAUAACUGACGCUGAGUGUGCGAAAGCUAGGGGAGCAAACGGGAUUAGAUACCCCGGUAGUCCUAGCCGUAAACGAUGGGCACUAAGUAGAGGGGUUUU
rnacentral:rRNA from 1 species